AUGGUGGGCUACUCCAUCAACGGCCUGCGCACGUCCACGCUGCCGUUCGAGGAGACCGGCACGGCCAGGUCGACGCAGAUGGUGCGCCUCGCGUUCGGCCGCGAGGAGACGACGCGCCUGCUCGAUGCGUGCAAGGAGAACGGGGUGAAGCUUUGCUCGGCCAUGGCUGCGGCGACGUUGCUGGCUGCACGGCAGUCGAAGAAGCUGGACAGUGGCCAGCAGGAGACGUACUCUGUGGCGACCCUGAUCAACUGCCGCCAGUUUCUUGAGCCAGCUUUGGACGAUCACAACGUUGGGUUCUUCUACUCUGCCAUCACCAACACCCACAAGAUACACGGAGAGGAGGGGCUAUGGGAACUGGCCAAGAGGUGCCACGAUUCCUACAUCAGCGCCAAGAACAGCAAGAAGCACCUCACCGACACCGCCGACCUCAACUUCCUCAUGUGCCGGGCCAUCGAGAACCCGCAGCUGACGACGGCGUCGGCGCUCCGGACGGCGCUCGUCUCCGUGUUCGAGGAGCCGGCCACCUACGACGGCCUGUCCGGCCUGCAGAGCAAGGCCGGCGUGGAGGAGUACGUCGGCUGCGCCACCGUGCACGGCAUCGGCCCGUCGAUCGGCGUGUUCGACUCUGUCAGGGACGGGCAGCUGGACUGCGCGUGCAUGUACCCUUCUCCUCUGCAUUCCAGGAAGCAGAUCCAGGAGAUGUUUGACAAGGUGAAGCUGAUUUUGCACGAAGGGUGCAACGCGGGUAUUGAGAAACUAUGA
rnacentral:rRNA from 1 species